UUGGAAAUCAAACCUGGUUCAGAUUGUAGGAUACCAACAGUUUAGGUACACUUUGUAUCUACAGUAUGAUAGUGUUCACAAGACUUGCUAAGAAUCAGCUUCUAUUAGUACCCUGAGCAUCGUAGUAUAUAAACAUCCUGAUGAAAUAAACUGUUUCUUCAACCCGUUCUUUAUCUACUCUGCUGGGCACCUUGUGAUACAUUGCAAAAAUUUUGGUUAAGUGAGUAAAUAGACUGAAACCUGACUCUGAAAGAAGA